rnacentral:rRNA from 1 species
CCUACGGGGGGCAGCAGUGGGGGAUAUUGCACAAUGGGGGAAACCCUGAUGCAGCGACGCCGCGUGUGGGAAGACGGUCCUCUGGAUUGUAAACCACUGUCCCCAGGGACGAAGAUGACGGUACCUGGGGAGUAAGCUCCGGCUAACUACGUGCCAGCAGCCGCGGUACUACGUAGGGAGCGCGCGUUGUCCGGAAUUACUGGGUGUAAAGGGAGCGUAGGCGGGACUGCAAGUUGGGGGUCAAAUCUACCGGCUCAACCGGUAGCCGCACUCAAAACUGCAGUUCUUGAGUGAAGUAGAGGCAGGCGGAAUUCCUAGUGUAGCGGUGAAAUGCGUAGAUAUUAGGAGGAACACCAGUGGCGAAGGCGGCCUGCUGGGCUUUUACUGACGCUGAGGCUCGAAAGUGUGGGGAGCAAACAGGAUUAGAUACCCCGGUAGUC